rnacentral:rRNA from 11 species
GCAUGUGGUGGAUGCCUUGGCAGUCAGAGGCGAUGAAAGACGUAAUAGCCUGCGAUAAGCUCCGGGGAGGCGGCAAAUAUCCUGUGAUCCGGAGAUUUCUGAAUGGGGAAACCCACCUGUCAUAAGGCAGGUAUCGUAUGAUGAAUACAUAGUCAUACGAGGCGAACGAGGGGAAGUGAAACAUCUCAGUACCCUUAGGAAAAGAAAUCAAUUGAGAUUCCCUCAGUAGCGGCGA